rnacentral:rRNA from 1 species
AUACGGAGGGGGUUAGCGUUGUUCGGAAUUACUGGGCGUAAAGCGCACGUAGGCGGACUGGAAAGUUGGGGGUGAAAUCCCGGGGCUCAACCCCGGAACUGCCUCCAAAACUUCCAAUCUAGAGAUCGAGAGAGGUGAGUGGAAUUCCAAGUGUAGAGGUGAAAUUCGUAGAUAUUAGGAUGAACACCAGUGGCGAAGGCGGCUCACUGGCUCGAUACUGACGCUGAGGUGCGAAAGCGUGGGGAGCAAACAGGAUUAGAUACCCUAGUAGUCC